rnacentral:pre_miRNA from 1 species
GUUAAGGGGACGGACGCCUGGUUCGAGGUCUCUUGAGAGUGAGCCCUCUCUCUGACUCUCUCUCUCUCUCUCUCUCUCUCUUAAAGAGCGUGCUCGGGAGAUCUCGGACCAGGCUUCCAUCCCUUUAAC